rnacentral:lncRNA from 1 species
AAGUGUCAAAACCCCAAAGCUAUAAACAUCACAUUUUUCUGUCACCGCCAUUGUGUACGAAAACUCUGCGAGCAAAAGGAAUGAAAAAAAAAAAAAGGAAAACCAUUAAAUCUAGGCAAGAAUCUUAAUGACUGAUUCUUCACUGAUGAAAUGGAUCUCGAAAAGAAGUGUAAGAAUUGGGUUGUAAAAUGAACAAAACUAGUCAAGUUUCAUUUGUGUUCAGCUCGUUAAUUAAAACCUCAAUUGCAAUCCACUUAUUACCUAAACAACCAGUGCUUGAACAUAUUUUGGAUCUAGUCAGUUUUAUCUGAGCUCUGCUCGAAAUUAUAAUCGACUCUAUUACAGAUCAUUUGAGAUCGACUUGACUGAUAUUAAAACUAAGUUUGAACAAGUUUUUAAGCUCAUUAAAAUUUUAAAUUAAGUUUGAAUAAACCCCGAGACUCGUAGACAACCAAAUGUGUAACACUAUACUAAUUUAUCCGUAGCACGUACAGGUGUAGACAACUAUUUUUUAAAAAUGUUCGUGAAAACUCUGUUGAGCUGUCUUUUGUCCACAAUUCAUAAACUUAAAAGGAUAAUUUGUUCUUGUAAAUAUAAUUAAACAAAAAUAAAACUAUAACAUCUAAUCAUAAUGUCACCUGGGAGAGGUAUCCGUAUGUGCUUCAACUGCAGUCCAAAUUGAGGAUCCGGCUCAAAAAUCUAGCAUUUGGCCAAAAUCUGAGACAGAGCCUCCAAUUCUGAGUUCAACAAAACAUUCUUGCUCGCUAUGUCGCGUGAAUUAUUGAGGUGCGCAACUAUGAAUGCUGUAAUACAAUGCAUUAGCCACGCUUAAUAAUAUCAACCCUCUGGAACCAAUCUAGCACUUCGCGUCUUAUCGACAUUAGAAACACGUGCCAAGCUCCCUUUUCCCAGGAACUCGGAUAAACCAAAAAAUGGUGCCUUUUCAUGAGAACAAAAGCCAUAUUUUAAAAAAAUGUUACAAUGUCCGGUGCCUUAUUUCGUUCAAAGUUCUUAUCUCAUUUUUGAAAAGUCUGUCCAUGAUCUCCAUGCUUUCAGUUGUAAAGUUUAGCUUUUUCAUGCCACUACCUGUCCACUGGUAACAUAGCUUUGUAAAACUCUCGCUGUCCCCCCGCCCCAAUGCUGUUUAUUCAUCGUUUUUUAAAAUCGUUGUGCGUCGAUGAUGUCUCCGUGACAUCUUUCUCCAUAAAAUUCCAAAUGAAAGAGAUUUUUUUCUUUCUUUGUCAGGAACCCAGAUCCCUUGAGAAGAAUCCUUUUGCAUCGUCGGUGAUAAGUUUAAAACCCAAAUACCCAACAACCGAAAAUACGAAAAAGCAACAAGGCAAUGAAGAAGUUAUGAUAAUUAAUUAUCAGGUGAGAAUCUCUUUCUUUUGGCUGAUACUUGCGGGAGAUGAUGUGUACAUGCCCCAAUCUGGAUUUCACACAUUAAAUCUUGUUAUUAGCGAUUGAUUGUGAGGGAAAUGAAACGAAAGGCGUCGGUAUUAGGAAGGACACUCCAGAUCAUGUGUAGGACAGGUAAUGUCCCAAGCUCACCAUGCACCUAAAGAACUGGGUAUGUUACUGAAAAAAAGUUGUGAGGAGAGGUUCAAAUUUCUAGCCUUAGGAAUUUCCAAUUUGUCGGUGAUAUCUUCCAGUAAGGAAUUUGUAACUAAAUCAAAGUGUAAAGUUUGCAAAUUUACAAGAUUACCAAUCUCGAGUGGGAUGGAAGAGCAUUUAAGCUAUUCUUGCUCAAACUCAAAAAUAGCCUUGAGCAAUACCCAAUCUGAUUUGAAUUGGUCCAUUAACUUGUUAAAUGACAGGUAUAGAUUUUCCAAAUGCGAUAGUUUGUUCCGAUGCCUGCUGCGUAUCUGACCCGAAAAACUUAUUGUUUUGCAAGCUUAAGGGGCUAAUCCGACAAUUUCAAAUUUGUGCCGGUAUUUUCCCAUAAAGUUGAUUAGAAAGACAGGUCCAGGACUACUAGUGUUCAAUGAAGUAGUUUCAUUUGGGAUUUCCCCUGGCAAUAAUAUUCCCUGCAAUUUUUAGCAGUUGUCAAAGUAGACAUUGCCCCAAUUUGACGGCGAGAAUUUACCUGCAGCUGGUGUAGCUUAAGUCCAUGUAAGUAAGGACUUGGAUAAACUCCGAAAUCUUGAUCCAAAUUGCCUGAGAGUGGUAAUUCAAGCCGACCCGAAUAAGUUGGGCAAUUUCUUAGGCUCCUUGCGGAUGGGGGACCGGUUAAAAUGUUAUAAGCUGCACUGAAAUUCACAAGUUUCCAAUUUUGACACAAUUGUUGAGGCAAUUGGCCAGUGAAGUUGUCUCUGCAGAAUGAAGAACUCCCAAGGACGACACAGUUUCCUAUUUUCUUGAGGGUUACUGAUUCGGAUAAGUCGGUUUAUAAACAGCGAAGAUCGGGUACUUUUGCUUAAAGAAACCAAGGACUCGAGGCGAAUUUUCCAGAAAAGAUGGUUUUCAGCUAGACCGUAACGCAGUUAGCUCCCUCAAAUUA